GGUUCCUAUUAAAUAUUUCCCCUCUCACAAAACUAUGUCCCCCGGUUCUUGAUUGCCCUGCUCUGGGUAAAAGACUCUGUGCAUUCACCCUGUCUAUUCCUCUCAUGGUCUUAUAAGAUCCAUAAGAUCACUCCUGAGACUGAUGUACUACAAGGAAUAAAGUCCUAACCUGCUCAGCCUCUCCCUAUAGCUCAGGCCCUCAAGUCCCGGCAACAUCCUCGUAAAUUUUCUCUACACUUUCUAGCUCAACAACAUCCUUCCAAUAGUAGAGAGACCAAAACUGUAUACAAUACUCCAGAUGCUGCCUCA